rnacentral:rRNA from 1 species
AACGAACGCUGGCGGCAGGCUUAACACAUGCAAGUCGAGCGCCCCGCAAGGGGAGCGGCAGACGGGUGAGUAACGCGUGGGAAUCUACCCAUCCCUACGGAACAACUCCGGGAAACUGGAGCUAACACCGUAUACGCCCUACGGGGGAAAGAUUUAUCGGGGAUGGAUGAGCCCGCGUUGGAUUAGCUAGUUGGUGGGGUAAAGGCCUACCGAGGCGACGAUCCAUAGCUGGUCUGAGAGGAUGAUCAGCCACAUUGGGACUGAGACACGGCCCAAACUCCUACGGGAGGCAGCAGUGGGGAAUAUUGGACAAUGGGCGCAAGCCUGAUCCAGCCAUGCCGCGUGAGUGAUGAAGGCCUUAGGGUUGUAAAGCUCUUUCACCGAUGAAGAUAAUGACGGUAGUCGGAGAAGAAGCCCCGGCUAACUUCGUGCCAGCCGCCGCAGUAA